UGCAAAUAUGCAAUAUGUGUCAAUAUGAAAUUUACAAUAUGCCAUAUGCCAGUUCCCUGCCUCCAAUAGUAUAAAAAGCGGCAGAUGAAAAUGGGAGCAUGGCAGUUCUUGCAUCAAAGUAAGUACCGUAGAACACGGUGUGACAUCUUUUUUCUUCUUUUGUUGAACUCACUGCCUUCAACAUUUUUGGAGUGUUCUGUUUAAAUUUGCAGUUUGUUUUUUCCUUUUGUUCACCUUCAUAUUUUAUUCCUAUUUCUGUUUGACCUAAAGUUCAUCGUCAUCUUUCUGUUGUAUCUGUCAGAAUCAGCUGUUUUGUGGUCAAAUAAUCUAAUCUGACUUUUUUUUUUUUUUCAGUGAACUCCAAGGGCUGUAGUAAGACCAUGGACUAUCAAUCCCAGACGAAUAACACAGCAAUGAAUGCAUCAACUGUGAUUUCUCCCCACAUCAGGGACUGUCAAAUCGGCAACUUCAACAUCAACAACAACAUCACAGUUCAAGGUGGUAGUUUCUUUCUACCGUCCUCUGAAGGACCCCUGUCUGGGUUCCCACAGGAGGUGUGUAGGGUUCAGAACGACCAGAAUGGACGACUGGACAACGAUGAUCUAUUUCUGCUCAUGUUGAAGGAGCGCCUGAAAACACUUGAUGUCCGAACAAGGUUUAAAGUGAAGAAUGGCCUGUACAGAUGA
ensembl:lncRNA